CAGCAGUACCCUAAAUCUUUGGCAUUGAGCCAUAUGGGUUCCAUUAAAUUUCAUAACCAAGUUUGAAACCCCCAAACUUCACCCCGCCGUCUGUUUUUUCUGUAAACCCUCCGGAUAUCAGAUUCUUUUCUGAGACUAUCACUCAGAAGAAGUAGAAGACGACAAUAUUGAAGGAGAUCGAAGAAGAAGAAGAGGAUAUCAAAUUCAAGUAAGUUUCAAAUCCCUUAUCAUCUUUGAAUCUGUUUUUUCCUUAAGCUUCUGUCUUGUUAAUCAAAACAAUUGGUUUUUGGAGACCAAUGUUGUAUUAAUUUGAUAAAUUGGUUAGUGAAGAAAUUGGAAAGGAACGAAUUUGUUUAGUUUUAUGGCAUGAAUUGGGUUUUCAAAUCUCUA